AUUAUUAUUUUUAUUAUUAUUAUUAUAAACAAAAUAAAUAUCGAAUGAACAAAGUUAUUAUAAAUCAAUAAUAAAAAUUAUUAAAUCAGUUUUGUUCAUAAAUCUUUCAAGAGAAAUUUCUUUUUUUUUUUAAAGUUUGUUGUUUGUGCUCUCCACACUGGGCACAUUGCCAUUAUUCCGCGGCCAUGGUUGUAUAAAGUUUGUGGAAUAUGGAAAUGCCGAUGGACUUCCUCCUUGGAAAAAACUAAAAACUACAGUAUAUUUAAUCCAAACUGGAGAGAGUAUGAAAUUACAAAAAUUUAUGCUAAGACAGAUACCUUUAACAAAGCAGAAAAUAUUCAAGCAGACCAAUCUGGCAAGUCUGAUGGAUCAGCGGUAACACUGACUGAUGUUGAAAAUUCUAUAACUUCAGCUACAAUACCGCUUGGUGCUACACCUUACAAAAAAAGAUUAAGAACGCCGCCAAAUAUA